rnacentral:rRNA from 1 species
AGAGUUUGAUCCUGGCUCAGAGUGAACGUUGGCGGCGUGGAUUAGGCAUGCAAGUCGAGCGAUCGUAGCAAUACGGGAGCGGCAAACGGGGUAGGAAUACAUCGGAACGUACCUUUUGGUUGAGAAUAGCGUUGGGAAACUGACGGUAAUACUCAAUAAAGUCGAGAGACCAAAGGUUUACUGCCGGAAGAGCGGCCGAUGCGAUAUUAGGUAGUUGGUGGGGUAAUGGCCUACCAAGCCUGAGAUGUCUAGGGGGUGUGAGAGCAUGGCCCCCACCACUGGGACUGAGAUACUGCCCAGACACCUACGGGUGGCUGCAGUCGAGGAUCUUCGUCAAUGGGCGAAAGCCUGAACGAGCGACGCCGCGUGCGGGAUGAAGGCCCUUGGGUUGUAAACCGCUGUCAGGGGGGAUGAAACCGUAAGGUUGACAGAGCCCCAGAGGAAGCACGGGCUAAGUUCGUG